rnacentral:misc_RNA from 1 species
UCCGAGUUGACCCCGGCAGUCUCCCAUGAGUCCCCACCAUUACGUGCUGGCAACAUGGGACGGGGGUUGCGCUCGUUGCGGGACUUAACCCAACAUCUCACGACACGAGUUGACGACAACCAUGCACCACCUGUACACCGACCUUGCGGGGCGCACAUCUCUGCACGUUUCCGGUGUAUGUCAAGCCUUGGUAAGGUUCUUCGCGUUGCAUCGAAUUAAUCCGCAUGCUCCGCCGCUUGUGCGGGCCCCCGUCAAUUUCUUUGAGUUUUAGCCUUGCGGCCGUACUCCCCAGGCGGGGCGCUUAAUGCGUUAGCUACGGCACGGAACCCGUGGAAUGGAUCCCACACCUAGCGCCCAACGUUUACGGUGUGGACUAC